UAUAUAUCUCUAUCUUUAUCCACUUACUCUAUCUCUCUCCCUCUCUCCCUCUGUCUAUAUAUAUAUAUAUAUAUUCAAUUCUCACACACAGUACCGUAUACACCUCUCACUCUCUUUUCAGUUAUUGCACAGUCGUACCCUUCACCUUCCCCCAUCUAGUAUAUUUCAAUUUCUUUUCCCCCACCGUAUACACAUACAUAUGUAAUUAUUCUCUCUCUUUCCAUCACUCUCCAAACCAUAAAUAUAUAAGUAUUUCUCUCUCUCUCUUUAAACAGUACAUAUACUCUCUCUCUAUAUAUCUCUAUCUCGAUAACUCUCUCUCACAGCUUCUAGCCUUUGUUGUUUCAUCACCCCCGACGACACUUUUAGGUUCCGAGUGACGUUGGCAAAUGAAUAUCGUGACUAUUUUAAGCAUAAAUUGAGUGUUGUAGAAAGUUCCUCCCUUUGAAGUGAUAGCUGUUGAACUAAAGAUUCCAGAUGGGACUUGGUUUGAUCACUUGAGAUUGGAAGUUUUGUGGAUGGAUGGUUUUGUUACUUGGAGAUGGUUUUGAUUGUACAAAGAGUGUUCUUUUGGUCAUACUUUAGUCAUUUUACAGUUUUUGUUGGAGUAUCUGUUUUGUAAAUAUUUGAGAAAUUAAUGGCUCUAGUCGAACUUGUAAAUGUGUUGGUGAGAAUCAUUGUAUUAUAGUUGUGAAUACUUUGGAAGUUAUGUAUAUGAUACAUGUUGUAAACAGUGAGAAAGUUAUAAUAAUAUAGAUAAAACUCUGUAUGUUUA